CAGUUCGGAUCGAGGGCUGCAACUCGCCCUCGUGAAGCCGGAAUCGCUAGUAACCGUGGAUCAGCCACGCCACGGUGAAUACGUUCCUGGGCUCUGUACUCACCGCCCGUCAACGCAAGCGAGCCGGAAACAGGCGAAGUGGAGCUUCAAAGCUCAGCGAGCCUGGGUUCGGUGAGAGGGCGUAAGUCGUAACAAGGUACGGGUACUGGAAGGUGCCCGUGGAACAAUUACUUU
rnacentral:rRNA from 1 species